rnacentral:rRNA from 1 species
GCCAGACUCCUACGGGAGGCAGCAGUGGGGGAUAUUGGACAAUGGGGGAAACCCUGAUCCAGCGACGCCGCGUGAGUGAAGAAGUAUUUCGGUAUGUAAAGCUCUGUCAGCAGGGAAGAGAGAAAUGACGGUACCUGACCAAGAAGCCCCGGCUAACUACGUGCCAGCAGCCGCGGUAAUACGUAGGGGGCAAGCGUUAUCCGGGAUUACUGGGUGUAAAGGGAGCGUAGACGGUGAUGCAAGUCUGGAGUGAAAGGCGGGGGCCCAACCCCCGGACUGCUCUGGAAACUGUGUAGCUUGAGUGCAGGAGAGGUAAGCGGAAUUCCUAGUGUAGCGGUGAAAUGCGUAGAUAUUAGGAGGAACACCAGUGGCGAAGGCGGCUUACUGGACUGUAACUGACGUUGAGGCUCGAAAGCGUGGGGAGCAAACAGGAUUAGAUACCCCAGUAC